rnacentral:rRNA from 1 species
UUACCUACCCUUGACAUGCCAGGAACUUUCCAGAGAUGGAUUGGUGCCCGAAAGGGAGCCUGGACACAGGUGCUGCAUGGCUGUCGUCAGCUCGUGUCGUGAGAUGUUAGGUUAAGUCCCGCAACGAGCGCAAAAAAAAUAAUUAAUUGCCAUCAUUCAGUUGGGCACUUUAAUGAGACUGCCGGUGACAAACCGGAGGAAGGUGGGGAUGACGUCAAGUCCUCAUGGCCCUUAUGGGUAGGGCUUCACACGUCAUACAAUGGUCGGUACAGAGGGUUGCCAAGCCGCGAGGUGGAGCCAAUCCCAGAAAGCCGAUCGUAGUCCGGAUCGCAGUCUGCAACUCGACUGCGAGAAGUCGGACUCCUGACGUUUCGCGGAUCAGCAUGUCGCGGUGAAUACGUUCCCGGGUCUUGUACACACCGCC